rnacentral:rRNA from 1 species
GCACAAGCAGUGGAGUAUGUGGUUUAAUUCGAUGCAACGCGAAGAACCUUACCAGGUCUUGACAUCCGACUAACGGAGCAGAAAUGCACCGGUGCCCGCAAGGGAAAGUCGAGACAGGUGGUGCAUGGUUGUCGUCAGCUCGUGUCGUGAGAUGUUGGGUUAAGUCCCGCAACGAGCGCAACCCUUGUCAUUAGGUGCUACGGACCAGAGGCA